CACCCCCCUUCAAGCACUCGUCUCCACCUCCUCCUUCUCCUAGCAGCCUGGUGUGUCAAGAAGAGAGAUGAAAAACCUGUAAGAAAAAAAAAAAAGAGGCGAGUAGGGAUUGGGUUUUUUUUUUUUUUUUUUUUUCAGUUUCUUGGUAUCAGAACAGGCGUCACGGCGGGUGCAGGGGGCAGCGCGCGGAGUACGGAAGGGAGGAGGCGACAGCGGAGCGUAAACACGACAAAAAACGGGCGAAUAGAGCGGCGGACAGCGGUGACCCCCCACCACCACCGACACCAUCACCUUCUCAUCUCCAUCCCGUUCGUUUUUUACGCUGUUUGACUCGGUGGCUCCGCUCGCGAGAGUAGCUUCUUGUUAGCUCCGGGUUUUUGCGGAAUAAACAUCGGAGGCAGAAAUAAGGAGGCUGUGCACGAGCGCCAGCGACAGCAGCAGCAGCAGCGGAACGAACCGACAGGAUUCCCAACGAGCACAGGACGCUUCCGCGGCGGAUAAAACCCCGGAGAGGAGAGUCGGGAGAGGCAAAGAGGAUUGUAGCUGCUGAGCAGGAGCGGAGCGGAGACCUCCCCCCACCCCUCCACCGACCCCCCGGUUCUUCCCUCCGAGUCUCCAGCAUCACCAAUGCGAUGGCAUAGCGGCUCCUGCAGCAAUACCGAAAGGCUCGAGUCAGAUCGGCGCUGCUCGUCUCCACCAUGAGCCUCUGAAAAGACAUCCGACACGGGCACAGAUGGUGCUGUAUCAAUGUUAGUGAAAGAGAUAGAAGAGCAAACGAAAGAAACGGAGCAAUUGUAGUAAAUCCCCCGGAGGCCAAGGCAAACGCUCAGAUAAGGUGAAGUUAGGAGGACAAGAAUAUGAGUCAGUCUGAGCAACAAAGCGGCACAUUCAUCGUUUACCCUUGUUGACGCAGGUUUGAGGCAUUCAUUUUUCAUCUUCUGCUGUGUGAGACGUAGACGUCAGAGAGUAGGCUGCCAUUGACCGUUUUGCAAAGGGAAAGUAGAAAUAGACAGGAAAGGAAGAGAAGCUGCAUGUUUGAGGGUUGGGCUCACGUAUGGAGAAAUAAUGACUGAGCGGAAGGAUUACCUUGCAGUACAGAAUAUCACCUGGGAAAGUAGCCCAGUGCUUAUGGAGCAAAUAAAAACAAGCAUACCCUCAACCCUCAAAAGAAAAAGAAAAACCGCCGCAGCUUUUCCAGAAAGACACGGCCACUUGACCGCACAGUACCGCGCUCUGAAAUGACUCCUGCCCACCAGCAGGCCACAGCCAGGAGGAAACCCUCAACGGCUUUUCCGUGCUUUGCAUUCCUCUGCUGACGGUACGCACAUGCAGGGACUAGAGCCACAGAGCUGCUUCUGGACUUUGACAUACGGAUGUCACACUGCAGUAUUUGAGACGUAUGUUGUGUCCAAACUUUUUGUCACGUGGGCCAAUAUUGUUGAGUCAAAAGUAGUGAUGGGCCAAAAUAAAAAAAAAACCCAACCUCAAAUUAGGCAAAUGAAGUAGCCCCCAUUUUUGAAUUUUUUUUUUCUGAAAUAGUUCCAAAGCUUGUAGUUAGCUUGUAGUUCCAAAGCUUAAAAGGAAUUUUUAUGAUGAUGUGUUAGAGCCGUUGUAGAUAAUAAAAAAUAAAAAAGUAC